GCUCAUUUGGCUGAGCAUCUGACUUCGGCUCAGGUCAUGAUCUCACAGUUUGUGAGUUCGAGCCCCACAUUGAGCU
rnacentral:tRNA from 1 species